rnacentral:rRNA from 1 species
GACAGAGGUGCCGAGCGUUAGGCGGAAUCACUGGGCUUAAAGCGUGUGUAGGCGGGUCGUUAAGUGCCUUGUGAAAUCCCACGGCUCAACCGUGGAACUGCUGGGCAUACUGCGGGUCUUGGGCCAACUAGGGGCAGCCGGAACAAGCGGUGGAGCGGUGAAAUGCGUAGAUAUCGCUUGGAACGCCGAAGGUGAAAACAGGCUGCUGGGGUUGCGCCGACGCUGAGACACGAAAGCCAGGGGAGCGAACGGG